AACUAGAGAGCUGCCUGGAAGGAGACAGGCUCAAGAAAAUGCGAGAAGCCGAGAAGCGACCCCAGAUUCUGUUGUAUUGCUCUAGGUAUCUCAUGGAGUUCUGUGGAAUCAAACUAAUCUCUAUAGCAUCUACCAUAUCUGUCUGAAUAGAGCUAUUCAAACCCACAAUUGUGGGUGUCAGCUCACAUCACAUCCAAAGUCAUCUGGGGAAAGAGGAGAAGAACUGAAGAGUUAUUCAAGGAGAUGUUAACUUUUCAGCUGCAAAACUUUAAUGUGCUCACG